GACGAACGCUGGCGGCGUGCUUAACACAUGCAAGUCGAACGGAAAGGCCCUGUCUUUGUGGGGUGCUCGAGUGGCGAACGGGUGAGUAACACGUGAGUAACCUGCCCUUGACUUUGGGAUAACUUCAGGAAACUGGGGCUAAUACCGGAUAGGAGUUCCUGCUGCAUGGUGGGGGUUGGAAAGUUUCGGCGGUUGGGGAUGGACUCGCGGCUUAUCAGCUUGUUGGUGGGGUAGUGGCUUACCAAGGCUUUGACGGGUAGCCGGCCUGAGAGGGUGACCGGCCACAUUGGGACUGAGAUACGGCCCAGACUCCUACGGGAGGCAGCAGUGGGGAAGAUUACACAAUGGGCGGAAGCCUGAUGCAGCAACGCCGCGUGCGGGAUGACGGCCUUCGGGUUGUAAACCGCUUUCGCCUGUGACGAAGCGUGAGUGACGGUAAUGGGUAAAGAAGCACCGGCUAACUACGUG
rnacentral:rRNA from 1 species